GUCAGUCACUUUUUCUCAGUCCUAGGAAGGAAGCAAUGGCAAACCACUUCUGAAAAACCUUGCCAGGAAAACUGCAAGAUUGGUUUGAAAUCAGAAGGCAGAAGUCUGAAUGAAAGGAUGGAAGGAUUUGGGAAUGUUCAGUCAGAAAGACCAACUGUAUUUUACUGGGAAACAAACCAGGGUUUAACAAUGAACAUCUGUACCUGAAUGGAUCAUAGUUUGGAGAAUGUAGGAAAGAGAGGAGAGGUGACUUUCCUGCUGAAAUUCGCCAUGCCCUUCAGUUGCUGGAUUCAUGCAAUUGAUUUAUACAAUGCCUCGAUAUGACUAUAAAACCUUGUUAUUGUUCCUUCUGUGAUCCAAGAGUAUAUUCUGUUAACCUACAUUGCUUGAAACUUAGGGCCAAAGCAGGUGUACAGGGAUGGGAUGGGUUUUUAGAUCCUUAAUCCUGAUAUCCUGAUCAAUCAAUUUAUAAGCCUUAGGUAGAUUCUCCAUAAAUCCUGAUAUUUCUAUGCUACAUUUCCUACAUUGACCAGUUCAGAAUAAGAUGAAUCAGAACAUUUUUUUUUAUUUUAGAUAUAUGCAAAGAGAGAGUAUAUGCUGUUUCCUGCAGUGUUAGAUGUUAUGUUCAAAACUCGAAAUCUCCCCAAGAAAAGAACAGUAGAAAGAAGGCAGAAUGGGAAGAGACAGGAGAAGAGAGGGAAACAAAGGCGUUGUUUGGAUUUUACUGCAAUAAAGCCCUUGAUCAAUAAAUGGCA